AGAGUUUGAUCCUGGCUCAGAACGAACGUUGGCGGCGCGCUUAACACAUGCAAGUCGCACGCGAAAGGGAGCAAUCCCCGGUAGCGUGGCGCACGGGUGAGUAACACGUGGAUAAUCUACCCUUGAGCGGGGGAUAACCUUCCGAAAGGAGGGCUAAUACCGCAUAAGACCACGACCAGUACGCUGGUUGGGGUCAAAGCAGGCCUCUACAUGUAAGCUUGCACUCGAGGAUGAGUCCGCGGCCCAUCAGCUAGUUGGUAGUGUAACGGACUACCAAGGCAAAGACGGGUAGCUGGUCUGAGAGGAUGAUCAGCCGCACUGGAACUGAGACACGGUCCAGACUCCUACGGGAGGCAGCAGUGGGGAAUCUUGCGCAAUGGGCGAAGGCCUGACGCAGCGACGCCGCGUGGGUGAUGAAGGCCUUCGGGUUGUAAAGCCCUGUGGGGAGGGACGAAUAACGACGACUUAAUACGUCGUCAGAUGACGGUACCUCCUUAGCAAGCACCGGCUAACUCUGUGCCAGCAGCCGCGGUAAGACAGAGGGUGCAAACGUUGUUCGGAAUUACUGGGCGUAAAGCGCGUGUAGGCGGUCUGGUAAGUCGGGUGUGAAAGCCCGGGGCUCAACCCCGGGAGUGCAUUCGAUACUACCAAACUAGAGUACUGGAGAGGAUGGUGGAACUCUCGGUGUAGAGGUGAAAUUCGUAGAUAUCGAGAAGAACACCGGUGGCGAAGGCGGCCAUCUGGACAGAUACUGACGCUGAGACGCGAAAGCGUGGGGAGCAAACAGGAUUAGAUACCCUGGUAGUCCACGCCGUAAACGAUGGGUGCUAGGUGUCACGGGUAUUGACCCCUGUGGUGCCGAAGCUAACGCA
rnacentral:rRNA from 1 species